GGCAUUGUCCUAGAUCCUGUCUGGGGAGCAGGAGCAUGUUCCCAGCCUUCGCACUGAGAUGAAAAGCUGCUGACACAGAAACCCCCAGAGGCCAGUGCAGUGUGGAACGCACUGGUACCCGGGCGGUCCCGCGGGAGACGGGAGGUCAGCAGAAGGCAAGAUCGGCCUGGGCUGGCUGCAGGAGAUGGGGCCUCUGGGAAGAAGUAGGAUUUCAGCCUGGGACCUGUAGGGUGGAGAAAUAACUAGGACAGAGGCUUUCCGCUUUUUGUGUGGAGGGUGACUAGGAAACGGCAGAUACCCCAACUCCACCCCCUCUUACAGUGAAAGGGGAAAACUCUUUGGAGUCAGACCCUCUGGGUGGGAAUCCUGGCUCUGCUCAUCAGCUGAGUGACCUUGGGAAAGUCACAUGCUGUCUCUAAACUUUAGUGUCUUAAUCUGUAAAAUGGAGGUCAAAAUACUCUGUUCACUGGGUUGCUGUGGGGUCAAAGGCGCUAGGACAUGAGAGACACAGGAGAUCAAUUAAGAUCAGGCCCUUUUCUUUCUCUCGCUCUCUUUGGAAGAGUUUAGAUUAUCCUCCCCUGAGACCUGAGACCGGGCUUUUUUUUCUUGGCAGUGGGAGGAGGGCGUUAGGAUGGAGGGAGCUAAAGGCUUUAGAAGAGGGUUUGAGGAGGACUAUGGGAGAAAGUUCCAGAAAAGGAGAAGUAGGCACUGGGGACACUAGGUAUGGUCAGCCCCAGGGUGUCAGCCUUCCUUUGGUGGAAAGGGAUGGCACCAACACGUGUGGAGCAUGGCUAAGCGCCAGGCACCAUGCUGGAUGCCAGGACACCGCCUCGAACUCUCUAUGACUCUUAACCCUCAGAAGCUCCAGUCUUUUGGUAAACAUUAACAGGAAGAUAAAGCAUUACAAUCCAAAGAAGUUUAAGAAGAACGAGACAGAGAGAGACAACACAGAAGACACCACGAUCAAUACUUGGAGGAGGUCAUAUGGAAGGUGAGUUUUGAAGGAUGAAUAGGAGUUCAGUUCAGGGAGGCGACCUAAGGAAGGCGAAAUGGCAUACGGUUCAGCACUACUGGAGUAAAAACCAUCUGAAAAGAUGAGUUUGAGAAAUGAGGCUGGGGAGGGGAGCUGGGGGGGCGGGUGCUAGAUGAUGAUGGCCAUGCUGGCCUUUAUCCUGGAGUGAUGGAGUUCAAUGAAGCGUUUUCGAUGAGUGGAGAACUGCUGGAGUUGUAAGUCAGAAAGACCCCUCUGGUAGCAGAAUGAGAGGUGCAUCGGAGCGGGACGAGCUUGCAAGCAGGAUGCCGGUGCAGACGCAGAUUCUGUGGUCCAGGGCACAGGAUGAGGGUCUGAACCAGGAAACCUCGUGGCCGUUUUCUCCUGAGCUCUUCGGCCAAGUGCAGUCUUGCUCUCUGCUAACCCACAGCAUGUGCCUCUGUCACUCACGGCCCUGUGACCCUGGGCCACAUGCUGGGAUUAUCCGUAUAUUUGUCUUCCCUCCACUGCCGGGUUGGGAGCGUUUUUCCCCCACUGCGUCCCGGGGCCAAGAAGCUGGUUCACAGUUGGCACUGAUGUGUUCUGACGGUCCUGGGGUUCGGGAAGAAGGACUUGGGGUGAAUGCAGCAUGUGGUCCAGCUCAUGAGCCAAACAAGACCUCCAGGCCUUCUGCUCACUCACUUCCCCUCUGUAUUUGUCCUCAAUCAAACUGUGCAAAGAAAUGCCUUAACCUCCUUCUGUAUUGUUGUGUGAAUCAACAGAAGAGUGCUGCGUGUUUACCAACCAGAGCUUGAAGGAAAUAACACAUAAUCAGGGAGGAAAGAGCAGCGGGCGGCAGUGGGAGCUCGCCUGCAGGUUGUUUGUUUCCCUCUGAUAGAAAAGCCGCUCCUGGCUCGCAGUCGAGGGCAUUUUCCAGAGGCGAACUUGCCAGUCCACAAAGAUGCUUGCGUGCAGUAUUAUUUUCUCCUCGCUCUUCCAUGGCUUUCCCUCUGCUCCUUCUGUUGCAUCUGCAUGGGCACGGACAGGGCAAUGGCAGGUUAACUGGGGCCGGAAAGUUGCUAUCACCUGACAUCUGCACCAACAGUUUAUGUAAAAUGAGCCGAUUCCAGUGAGAGCGCAUGUCUCCAGGGGAGCCGGCCCACCGCUGGCACCCCCCAGGCGCCUGCUGCCAAGGGCUGGGGCGGGGGCCCGCUCAGGGCAUGGAGGGAGCUGCCUCCGAGUAGGGCCGGGACAUGUGGGCAGAGGAGAGUCAGGCAAGAGAGGACGGCAAGUCCCGGGCAGCACCUGUUCCCAGGGAGUAAAUAAUACUCUGGCCUGUGUCAUCGCGCCUGCCUGUCGCCCAGCAGGCAUCCAGUUCACCCUCCAUUGUGGGCCGCCAGCCCUGCAACCGCAUGCAGCUGGUUCAGAUGUGCUCUGGAAAGGAAACCGAAGGUCCUGAUGGCUUCUGCUCGCUGCUCAGCUCAGGGUCCCUCCCAAACUCUCAUUUCACAGCUGCUGCCCAACUGCCAGGGCUCGAGGGGGCCUGCCAAGUGUGUGGCUCUGGUGCCCCUGGCUCCCGAGAGAGGCGAGGUGAUGGGGGCAGAGGGCCCGAGACUGCACUCGGCUGUGUCCCAGGAGGACAGGUGCAGGUGGCUGUGGCCUCAUCCCACUGCCCCCGCUCCCUUCCUCUCCUCCCCCUACUCACUUCUCUGUUUACAGUCUAUUCGCAGGAGAAUAUUUGAAGUAUUCGAACUAUGGGUGUCAUCGUCCAAGACUGAGUGCCGGGCCCAUUGUGCGGAAGGAGAAUUAGUGAGUUUAGACACAGGGAAGACUAAUCGGUCUGUUUGGGAAUGAAUCAGAGUUCGGUGAUUCCUCUGUUUCGAAAGGUCACCAUUUAUUGGUUUAAGUAACAGUGCAGUGGCUAAGAGCUCCGUCAGAGGGCAAACGGCUUGGGUUCAGAUUCCAGCUCAGCCACUGGCCUGCAGCAGGACUGGAUCUGGGUAAAUUCCUAUGUCCCCGUUUGUUGGGUGAGCAACUCAUCCAGGUUUGCCCAGGGGUUUCCGAGGGAUGGGAACCCCUCUGUCCUGGACCACAUGGGUGAGGAUGAGGAUGCUGCUCAGCAUCCGCGCGGUGAAGUCUGACUGGGUGAGACUCACGAGGUGAGUCCCACAGUGCCCGGCCCGCGGCCAGUGCGCUGCUCGGGAAGCUGGUGUGACGCCUUCUGAGGGCCCAGAAGUCUCGGCGCCCGGGGCCUGAGGCCCUGCUGGAGCAGAAGACACUCAGCCACAAACAGACCUGUCGCUGCGCAAACACAGCAGCCUGUAUUCAUGGCCCUUACCCCGUGAAGGGGCUGGGUUAUCUCUGUUCUACUGAUGAGGAAAUCAAGUCUCUGCGGGGAGGACUUGCCACAUGUCAAUAGCUAGGAAGAGAAGGAGGUCGGUCUUGAACCCAGCUCUCCUACAGCAAGCCCUGAGUCCUUAUGCCCUAGACCCUUCCAUCUCCUUGAGGCAAUUCAUGCUACAUCCUGAGUACUGCAUAACCCUCUGCUCAAGCGGUCCCCUCUUCCGGAGCCCCCGGCUUCACUGCUCUGGCCCUUCAGCCCUCCAUCUCUUCACCUGGCAGAUUCCUGUUCUCUUCGGGGUCUCAGCUGAGGCAGCUCCUCCUCCAGAAACUGGCACUGACCCUUCUUAGCCUCUCUCAUCCUCCCCGGGGCAAGGUGAGGUCUCAGACAGCAGAGGAAGCAGGAAUACGGCUGAACUGUCUUCAACAAAAUCUUUGCCGAUAAGACUUGGGGGAGUUUCCAGACACUUUCCUACGACUGUUCCAGCUGAGAACAUUGGGCUGAGCUCCCGUGACUCAGCCGCGGAAAGCCGGGGCCACUGAAGGUUCCCAGGAAGCCAGGGGGCACGCACGUCUUCCUCCAGCCAGGACAGGAAGUCACAGGCAGCCUCAGCGUCCUCAGAGCCUCCUUGCAGAGGGGACCAGCAGAAGGGUCUGAAGAAUGAACACUGUCCCCGGGGUGAGAGGCCCCGUCUAGAAGCACCAUCCUGUCCCUUUGCCAUGACUUCCGAUCUACAGGAAACCUCAGGCAUGGGCUUAGAGAGCGGGCCCUGGGUCAGAGUCCCAGCAGAGUGACGACCCAGCGAGGCAGCCUCUCCGAGCUUUGGGGUCCUCUCUGCAAAGUGGGGAGGGGAGUGGUACCUCCAUCAGAGGGCUGAUGUGAGAGUGAAAGAAUCAGUCUCCACGUGCUGACCAACGCCCCCCCCCCCCCCCCAGCACCUCCCACCGAGCAGGUGCCUGGCAGUAGCAGCUAUUGUUUUUCCAGCGAAGGAAGGAAAACACUGAGCGAGCUCCCAGCUGGGGUGGCCCCGUGUCCAGCCGAGUCCUCGCGGAGCAGCACGUCCUACAGGAGGCUCGGAGCGCGUGGCCUGAAGGCCGGUCUCUGCAGGAAGGCCUGGGCGCCGGAGCCCAUUGUGUUGCCGCCUGCGUGUUUUGCCUGGGCAAGCUGGAAGGGCAUGACCCCAGGACGUUGUCUCGAGGGGACUGCUCCUCCAGAGGUCAGACUGGGGCUGCUUUCUUACUCACUGUGGGCCUUCACUUUGAGAAACUUCUGGGCACGUUGUAUGAGGGCUCACGAGCUCCACGGCCCCCUCUGCUCCUCCCCUCACCGUUUUUUUUGGCAGAACCUGAGGCAGAUGGAAAAUUCGUGCUCAGGUGAAGAAAGAUGGGUAAUGUCUUAGAUAAUAUCUUUGCUUGUCUGACUUUAAAGUGUGUCAAAGAAAGGCCAAAUGGCCUCAAAUUGGUAAUAAAUGCCUUUUAAGUGUGGCCACAUCCUCUUGCCAAGUCAGCAGGCAUCUAUUAAGCUGUACGUGUUUGAAGAGUGGGGCCCAUGAAGCCCUGUGGACAGAAAGGCCUAGGGAGCUAACGGUGAAGAAACGAAAGCUUCAACAGGAGAGGGGGCGUUCUGAAGAUUAUCAGCCGGCUGCGGGGCCUCAAACCAAACCUCAUCUUUGGCUUAUUCUCUCUCCUCCUCCUCCUCUUUCUACUGGCCACCCUGUGGUGUUGCUGGUGUGGUCCCAGGCAACAUGAGAACCCCAAGAAUUAAGGAGAACACCUUCUGCCUUUCAGGAACUUUCCUUCUGUUCGAGAAGCCAGCAGGCUAAAGGGCCAGCAGAGACUCUUAACAGCACGCCCAGGAGAAAGCCGAGGGCUUCACGCGAGAUGCCCAUGUCCUGGCUCCACAUCCUGGGAAGGCCCACACUCCCCACCUGUGGGACCUGGAACAAGUGAACCGCACCUCCUGGAGCCCAGUUCCUGGUCCAUAGGACUGGCUCUUAGGGCUCCCGUGGAAGCGCUUAGUACAGAGCCUGGUACAUACUAGUGCUCAAUAAAGAGAAGCAAAAAUAAAUCCUGGUCCUACCCAAAGGCCACCUCUCCCUCUUACCCUUCCCCGUGGGUACCCUGUCAUUCGCAGUGUGGAUUUACAUCUGUUUUCACCUUCAGUUCUCAUAAGAGCCUUCGAAUGCAACCUGCGAAGAUUCUGGGUAAAUAAUUCGUUGAAUACGUGGCUACCUGGGGGCGUGAAUAGUAAAACUGAGAGGCACAGAGCACUUACGAUCCGCCAGGGCUGUUGAAGGCCUUUCUCUAUUCCGUGUCACUUACACUAUACACGUGUUCUACCUGCAUGACGACUCCGUGAGCUGGGCACCACCAUCAGCCCCACUUCACAGACACAGAAACUGAGGGCCAGAAGGCAUGAAGUCACUUGCCUGAGGUCAUAUAGGUAGGAUAUAAUUUAGGUGAGCAGGAAGCCAGGGAAGCUGGCUCCGGAGUUUGGGCUCCUACGCAGAACACUGUACUCACUGACUGACUGACUGACUGAAUGAAUGAAUGAAUAAUGAAGGAAUGAACACGGAGGUCAGGUAAGGCUCCAUUUUAUGGAUACUGACGCUGAGGCUGACAGCACAUAACUGACUUGCCCGAGGCCACACAGUUGCCUUAGUGGGGAUGUGGCCUCACAUGGCAGGAGUCCACUUCCUGAAGUUAGGUGCAGCCACGUGACUUGCUUUGUCCAAUGAAAUGUGAGUGGAAGUUGCACAGAGCACUUCCUGAGAGAAGCUUUAAGAACUUGCCACAUUUCUUAGAAGCAUAUGUUGAAAUGAAGCCUCUGUCUGCCUGGGUCACAAGUGCGUACCAGUGACAGCAGUAAGUGAGAAAUACACUUUUAUUGUGUUAAGGCACUGAGAUUGCGGGGAGGGGGGGGCGGGGUGGUUGUUACCACGGCAGAACCUGGCUUCUCUUGAUCAACACAGGUGGAACUAAGCCUGAGAGCUUGGGGGAUGAAGGGCCUCCGGCAACUCUGGUUGCGUUACCUGACCCCAGUCCACCACGCUCCCCCAGGGGGUUUUAUCUGCCGUUGCCUCCCCCACACCCCCAGCCCCAUCUCGGGCUGAAUGAGCGGGAUCAUUUAUGGCAUGAAAGGAGACAGCUGCAGAAUUCCAGCUCCUGACAGAAGGCGGUGGACAGACACUGACAGCUCGGCUCUGUGGUCUGGACGCCACACCCUCCCUCCCACAACGGCUGUCUUGUGUCGGUUUUUCUUGGUGAAGAGCGUCCUGCAUAGAGAGUGAGCUCUUCAGACGUAUUGAGAUUGGCAACAGGAUCUCCUAAAGCAGAAAAUGUAAAGUCGGGUUUAAUUAACCAGAUCUGUAGCUGACUGAUUUUUCUAAAAGGUUGUAAAGAGUUUUAAGAACAAUUAGUCACUUAAGAGGCUCAUCACUUUCUGUUAGGCAGAUACAUUAACAAUAAAACAAUUGAUACUGACAUCAAAAAUCCUCCACUAAUUUUUCAAAACAGUCUUGAUUGGAUGAACCCAACUAGAAUGUUUAAAAAGCAGUUUCAACACGCCGAGAGGACCCCUCCUUAUAUUUAACUACUGAGAGAAGAUUAUACAAAAGAGGACCAGGAUUUUAGAGACUGACUGACGCACACUGAUUUCUUUUUGUCAGAAAUUUUCAGUGACACACACCAAAAACUCAAUAAUGUCUGGGUCUACGCAAACUUUACAUUUGUCCUUACAUUUUUCUGCAUCCUCUAAAGUUUACUUAUGGACCUCACAUUGUUCUUUACGUUUUUCAAAGCUUCUGAAUUUUUGCAUACACUAGUCUUAUAGUCAAAUAGAACAAUCAAGUGUUUUUUUUUAAGUGUCUGGCUAUCUUUGGGGUCACUGCAGGCCAACUUGAAGGUGAACGUGAGCCCCGCUGUGUUGUCUGGUGAGGGCAGAUCGGGAAGCUUACCGUGUGGGGGCUGGAGGAGACCCUGGACCACACCCUGUACAACCGCUCCAUUUCAAAGAUGAGGGAACCACAUCCAGGGAAGGGAUGUGCCCAGAGCCACCGGGCUGUGAGUAGUGAGGCAGAGAAAGGACUCAACCCCAGGUCUGUCUGGGGCCAGAGUUCACACCCCUUCCACUACUCCCCAGUCUGGAGGAGCCUGUGACAUCUCUGGUCUGCAUUGUUGCGCUAGAUGCUCUUCUGAAACGUAGCUGGACACAACUUUAUUCGCCAUGUUCGGACACCGUCUGCCACUUGCACAGCACUUACAGUUGAAACACUUUAAAACGCAUUCUCUCUCCUGAGUUCCUAGCGACUCUGUGGGCUACGGAGGCCAGCAGCACCAAAACUCAGUCCUGCGGUUUUCUCGGCUCCUCUUUCCACAUCAGCACCCUUGUAUAUUCAGGAGGGAAACUGCGGCACCAGCCGUAUCCUGGUGCCUCGUAACUGUGUGCUUCAGGGCAAGUAACUCAAGAGACCCUCAGUUCCCCG
ensembl:lncRNA